AUUGAACGCUGGCGGAAUGCUUUACACAUGCAAGUCGAACGGUAGAGGGGGCAACCCCCUUGAGAGUGGCGAACGGGUGAGUAAUAUAUCGGAACGUGCCCAGUCGUGGGGAUAACGUAGCGAAAGUUACGCUAAUACCGCAUACGAUCUAAGGAUGAAAGCGGGGGAUCGCAAGACCUCGCGCGAUUGGAGCGGCCGAUAUCAGAUUAGGUAGUUGGUGAGGUAAAGGCUCACCAAGCCAACGAUCUGUAGCUGGUCUGAGAGGACGACCAGCCACACUGGAACUGAGACACGGUCCAGACUCCUACGGGAGGCAGCAGUGGGGAAUUUUGGACAAUGACGCAAGUCUGAUCCAGCCAUUCCGCGUGCAGGAUGAAGGCCCUCGGGUUGUAAACUGC
rnacentral:rRNA from 1 species